CAGUCGUUGCGGGAAUACAGAGGGUGCGAGCGUUAAUCGGAUUUACUGGGCGUAAAGCGUGCGUAGGCGGCUUUUUAAGUCGGAUGUGAAAUCCCUGAGCUUAACUUAGGAAUUGCAUUCGAUACUGGGAAGCUAGAGUAUGGGAGAGGAUGGUAGAAUUCCAGGUGUAGCGGUGAAAUGCGUAGAGAUCUGGAGGAAUACCGAUGGCGAAGGCAGCCAUCUGGCCUAAUACUGACGCUGAGGUACGAAAGCAUGGGGAGCAAACAGGAUUAGAUACCCCAGUAGUCCCUGUCUCUUAUAC
rnacentral:rRNA from 1 species